rnacentral:rRNA from 1 species
CCUACGGGUGGCAGCAGUGAGGAAUAUUGGUCAAUGGGCGCAAGCCUGAACCAGCCAAGUAGCGUGAAGGAAGACUGCCCUAUGGGUUGUAAACUUCUUUUAUACGGGAACAACCACAGGUACGUGUACCUGUCUGCGUGUACCGUAUGAAUAAGCAUCGGCUAACUCCGUGCCAGCAGCCGCGGUAAUACGGAGGAUGCGAGCGUUAUCCGGAUUUAUUGGGUUUAAAGGGAGCGUAGGUGGUUUGUUAAGCCAGCUGUGAAAUACUGUAGCUCAACUACAGCCGUGCAGUUGGUACUGGCAGACUUGAGUGCACAAGAGGAAGGUGGAAUUCAUGGUGUAGCGGUGAAAUGUUUAGAUAUCAUGAAGAACUCCGAUUGCGAAGGCAGCCUUCUGGGGUGCAACUGACACUGAUGCUCGAAAGUGUGGGUAUCGAACAGGAUUAGAUACCCCGGUAGUC